UACGUAGGGUGCGAGCGUUAAUCGGAAUUACUGGGCGUAAAGCGUGCGCAGGCGGUUUUGUAAGCCAGAUGUGAAAUCCCCGGGCUUAACCUGGGAAUGGCAUUUGGGACUGCAAGGCUUGAGUGCGGCAGAGGAGACUGGAAUUCCUGGUGUAGCAGUGAAAUGCGUAGAUAUCAGGAGGAACACCGAUGGCGAAGGCAGGUCUCUGGGCUGAUACUGACGCUCAUGCACGAAAGCGUGGGGAGCAAACAGG
rnacentral:rRNA from 1 species